rnacentral:rRNA from 1 species
AGAGUUUGAUCCUGGUUCAGAUUGAACGCUGGCGGCAGGCAUAACACAUGCAAGUCGAGCGGUAGAGAGAAGCUUGCUUCUCUUGAGAGCGGCGGACGGGUGAGUAAUGCCUAGGAAUCUGCCUGGUAGUGGGGGAUAACGUUCGGAAACGGACGCUAAUACCGCAUACGUCCUACGGGAGAAAGCAGGGGACCUUCGGGCCUUGCGCUAUCAGAUGAGCCUAGGUCGGAUUAGCUAGUUGGUGAGGUAAUGGCUCACCAAGGCGACGAUCCGUAACUGGUCUGAGAGGAUGAUCAGUCACACUGGAACUGAGACACGGUCCAGACUCCUACGGGAGGCAGCAGUGGGGAAUAUUGGACAAUGGGCGAAAGCCUGAUCCAGCCAUGCCGCGUGUGUGAAGAAGGUCUUCGGAUUGUAAAGCACUUUAAGUUGGGAGGAAGGGUUGUAGAUUAAUACUCUGCAAUUUUGACGUUACCGACAGAAUAAGCACCGGCUAACUCUGUGCCAGCAGCCGCGGUAAUACAGAGGGUGCAAGCGUUAAUCGGAAUUACUGGGCGUAAAGCGCGCGUAGGUGGUUUGUUAAGUUGGAUGUGAAAUCCCCGGGCUCAACCUGGGAACUGCAUUCAAAACUGACUGACUAGAGUAUGGUAGAGGGUGGUGGAAUUUCCUGUGUAGCGGUGAAAUGCGUAGAUAUAGGAAGGAACACCAGUGGCGAAGGCGACCACCUGGACUAAUACUGACACUGAGGUGCGAAAGCGUGGGGAGCAAACAGGAUUAGAUACCCUGGUAGUCCACGCCGUAAAGCGAUGUCAACUAGCCGUUGGAAGCCUUGAGCCUUUUAGUGGCGCAGCUAACCGGCAUUAAGUUACCCGCCCGGCGUUCCCCCCCCCCUUU